rnacentral:lncRNA from 1 species
GGGCAUAGAUCCUUAUUGGGAAUCCUACCUACUAGUGUGAGGUAUCACAUCAUCAUAUCUCAUUUCUCGAUUGAUUGUGUAUGCGAAGCCAAUUAGAUUGGAGUUUAUCCUGUUUUUCUGCAAUGUCUGAUGUGCAUGCAAAGUAGAGGAUCUACAUAUUCAGGCCUCCACGAAGGUUUAUAUCAGAUAAUUUAGGAUUUGAUCUCUGAUUCUACUAUGAUUCAGGUAAGUAUUUGAUCCAUAAAUAAGUAGAAUAUUAAAAAAAAAAUUUAGAUGCAACCUGGACAUUCUGGAGGGAAACUGUUCCCUUCCCUUCAACUG